UACGUAGGGUGCAAGCGUUGUCCGGAAUUAUUGGGCGUAAAGAGCUCGUAGGCGGUCUGUCGCGUCGGAUGUGAAAAUCCAGGGCUCAACCCUGGACCUGCAUUCGAUACGGGCAGACUAGAGUUCGGCAGGGGAGACUGGAAUUCCUGGUGUAGCGGUGAAAUGCGCAGAUAUCAGGAGGAACACCGGUGGCGAAGGCGGCGACCUGGUCCGAUACUGACGCUGAGGCGCGAAAGCGUGGGGAGCAAACAGG
rnacentral:rRNA from 1 species